rnacentral:rRNA from 1 species
GACGAACGCUGGCGGCGUGCUUAACACAUGCAAGUCGAGCGGUAAGGCCCUUUCGGGGGUACGACGAGCGGCGAACGGGUGAGUAACACGUGGGUUACCUGCCCUCAGCUCUGGGAUAAGCCCGGGAAACUGGGUCUAAUACCGGAUAUGACUCCAUGACGCAUGUUGNGGGGUGGAAAGCCUUGUGCGGCUGAGGAUGGGCCCGCGGCCUAUCAGCUUGUUGGUGGGGUGAUGGCCUACCAAGGCGACGACGGGUAGCCGGCCUGAGAGGGCGACCGGCCACACUGGGACUGAGAUACGGCCCAGACUCCUACGGGAGGCAGCAGUGGGGAAUCUUGCGCAAUGGGCGAAAGCCUGACGCAGCCAUGCCGCGUGAAUGAUGAAGGUCUUAGGAUUGUAAAAUUCUUUCAG